CCCUUAGAUGUUCUGGGCCGCACGCGUGCUACACUGAGUGGAUCAGCGGGUCAGGUUGCGCGAAAGCGUUUCCUAAUCUUUAAAUCCGCUCGUGAUGGGGAUUGACGGUUGCAAUUUUCUGUCAUGAACGAGGAAUACCUUGUAAGCGCGGGUCAUCAUCCCGCGCUGAAUACGUCCCUGCCCUUUGUACACACCGCCCGUCGCUCCUACUGAUUGAGUGUCUCGGUGAAUUCUUUGAUCUUCUGUCGAUUCAGUUCACUGAUCCGACGGUGGAAAGUUGAAUGAACUUCGUCACUUAGAGGAAGGAGAAGUCGUAACA
rnacentral:rRNA from 1 species